GGCCAAGUGCAAAGGCUUUCGGAGAAGGCUAUGUCUACAUUUCGCUUUUUGCCCGACUUUGUGAGCAGGAAGCGCGGCUACACGAAUUGCCACUUAAAAAUUCAAAAGUUUUGCGGCUGCCGCAUAUGGCAGCCAGUUGACUGCCAGUUGGUCGACUUUGGAUCCGACUUUGGAUCAGCUGGCAUAAGCGAGUGAAGCGGAUGCGGAUUCCACCCAGAACGCUGGCGAAACAAUAACAAAAUUCAGCCCAAUCCGCGGCUCUCUGUUAACCUUAACCCCGUUCUGGGUUUUGGUUCGGGGUUUGGGAUUCACCAGCCGGCAGGCAGCAAAUCUAAUUUCAAUUGCUGUGGCAUUUGCAUGGGAAAUUCCGUAAACUGGCACGCACUUAAAGCGUGAUGGAAAUAUUCGCGGUGGAACGAAUUUCAGGUGAUGUGCAAGCAUAGAACUUGAAUAGGCUCAAAAUAAAGCAGUUCUGGGAAAUACUUCACGAAAGCUGUGUAAAUUUGAUAAUGCCCCUAAUUUGACAAUCGUGAUAGCUAAAAGUUAAAUAAGUUGGUUUGGAAAACUCACUCAACUUAGUAAGCCUGCAAUUUCAGCUUAUGUGAACUACAACUCUUUUUUGUACCAGUUCAAAUGGGGACCCAAAACACAAACCUAAGAAGACGGAAAACAUAAACCGGCAGCAAAUUUUCCAAGCCGCAUAUACACCAGAGAUGGAAAACUCGCAGUGAUAGUCUCAAAAGCAUAUAAUACGCCAAGGAAGGCGA